UUCUAGCGUUGCUUACAUGCAGUCGACGGCAGCCGGAGCUUGCUCUGGUGGCGAGUGGCGAACGGGUGAGUAAUAUCUCGGAACGUACCCUGGAGUGGGGGAUAACGUAGCGAAAGUUACGCUAAUACCGCAUACGAUCUAAGGAUGAAAGUGGGGGAUUCCCAGACCUCUCGUUCUCGGAGAGGCCCAGAUCUGAUUAUCUAUUUGGGGGGGGAAAAGCCCCCCCCGGCGUCUAUCUCUAUCUGGUGUGAGAGAAGAACCCCCCACACUGUAACUGAGACACGGUCCACACUCUCCCAGGGGGGGCCAGUGGGGAAUUUUUUACACUGGGGGCACGCCUGAUCCACCUAUGCCCCGCGAGAGAAAAAAGCCUUCUCGUUGUAAAACUCUUUUUUCUCGGAAGAAACACUGUGAGCUAAUAUCUCUUCUGCUAGUCACUACCCCAAGAAAAAGCACCCCCUAAAUCUACGCCCCCAGCCCCGGGAAUACUCAAGGUGCGAGCGCUAUUCUCAAAUUCUCGGCGGAAAAACGCGCGCACCCGGCUUUUUUAAACUCAAAUGAAAUCCCCCGGUCCCCCCGGGAAAUUUUCUUUUAAACUCGCAAGGUUAAACUCGGGAAAAAGGGGUGGAAAUUCUCCCCCGUAACCCCGAAAAGCGCAAAAAAUUUGGAGGGGGAACCCCCCCCCCCGGGUUCAAGUUGAAGUUCAUACCGAAGGGGGGGGGACCAACCGGAUUCGAUCCCGUGGUAUUCCCCGCCUAAAACAAUGUUUAAGUGGUGGGCGGUUAGUUAUUGGACUGGGUAACCCAGUUAACGGUGAAAGUACCCCGCUUGGGGAGUGGGGGUGGCAAGAUUAAAACUCAAAAGGAAUGGGCGGGGCCCCGCACAAGCAGUAGAUGAUGUGGAUUAAUUCGAAGCAACGGGAAAAACCUGGCCUUCCCUUGACAUGGCUGGAAUCCCCGAGAGAUUGGGGAGUGCUGGAAAGAGAACCAGUACACAGGUGCUGCAUGGCUGUCGUCAGCUCGUGUCGUGAGAUGUUGGGUUAAGUCCCGCAACGAGCGCAACCCUUGUCAUUAGUUGGUACGAAAGGGCACUCUAAUGAGACUGCCGGUGACAAACCGGAGGAAGGUGGGGAUGACGUCAAGUCCUCAUGGCCCUUAUGGGUAGGGCUUCACACGUCAUACAAUGGUACAUACAGAGCGCCGCCAACCCGCGAGGGGGAGCUAAUCGCAGAAAGUGUAUCGUAGUCCGGAUUGUAGUCUGCAACUCGACUGCAUGAAGUUGGAAUCGCUAGUAAUCGCGGAUCAGCAUGUCGCGGUGAAUACGUUCCCGGGUCUUGUACACACCGCCCGUCACACCAUGGGAGCGGGUUUCACCAGAAGUAGGUAGCUUAACCGCAAGGAGGGCGCUUACCACGGUAGGAUUCGUGANUGGGGGAAGUCAACAAGAUGCAACAUAAA
rnacentral:rRNA from 1 species